rnacentral:rRNA from 1 species
UACGUAGGGUGCAAGCGUUGUCCGGAAUUAUUGGGCGUAAAGAGCUCGUAGGCGGUCUGUCGCGUCUGCUGUGAAAACUCAGGGCUUAACCCUGAGCUUGCAGUGGGUACGGGCAGACUAGAGUGCGGUAGGGGAGACUGGAAUUCCUGGUGUAGCGGUGAAAUGCGCAGAUAUCAGGAGGAACACCGAUGGCGAAGGCAGGUCUCUGGGCAUUAACUGACGCUGGAGGAGCGGAAAAGCCAUGGGGGAGCGAACAGG